rnacentral:rRNA from 1 species
AACGAACGCUGGCGGCAUGCCUAACACAUGCAAGUCGAACGGAUGCAGCAAUGCAUCAGUGGCAGACGGGUGAGUAACACGUGGGAAUCUACCCAGUAGCCUGGAAUAACCGCGGGAAACUGCGGCUAAUACCGGAUACGCCCCUCGGGGGAAAGGAGCAAUCCACUAUUGGAGGAGCCCGCGUCCGAUUAGCUAGUUGGUGAGGUAACGGCUCACCAAGGCGAUGAUCGGUAGCUGGUUUGAGAGAACGACCAGCCACACUGGGACUGAGACACGGCCCAGAAUCCUACGGGAGGCAGCAGUGGGGAAUACUGGACAAUGGGGGAAACCCUGAUCCAGCAAUGCCGCGUGGGUGAUGAAGGCCUUCGGGUUGUAAAGCCCUUUUGGCGGGGACGAUGAUGACGGUACCCGCAGAAGAAGCCCCGGCUAACUUCGUGCCAGCCGCCGCGGUAA